GAUCCUGGCUCAGGAUGAACGCUGGCGGCGUGCUUAACACAUGCAAGUCGAGCGAAGCGCUUAAGUUUGAUUCUUCGGAUGAAGACUUUUGUGACUGAGCGGCGGACGGGUGAGUAACGCGUGGGUAACCUGCCUCAUACAGGGGGAUAACAGUUAGAAAUGACUGCUAAUACCGCAUAAGACCACGGUACCGCAUGGUACAGUGGUAAAAACUCCGGUGGUAUGAGAUGGACCCGCGUCUGAUUAGG
rnacentral:rRNA from 1 species